CUAACACAUGCAAGUCGAACGGUUAAAGCAUCUUCGGAUGUGUAUAAAGUGGCGAACGGCUGAGUAACACGUGGGCAACCUGCCCUUUGCACUGGGAUAGCCUCGGGAAACCGAGGUUAAUACCGGAUACUCCAUAUCCAUCGCAUGAUAGAUAUGGGAAAGCUCCGGCGGCAAAGGAUGGGCCCGCGGCCUGUUAGCUAGUUGGUGGGGUAGUGGCCUACCAAGGCAAUGAUGGGUAGCCGGGUUGAGAGACCGACCGGCCAGAUUGGGACUGAGACACGGCCCAGACUCCUACGGGAGGCAGCAGUGGGGAAUCUUGCACAAUGGGCGAAAGCCUGAUGCAGCGACGCCGCGUGCGGGAUGAAGGCCUUCGGGUUGUAAACCGCUUUCAGCAGGGACGAGGCCGCAAGGUGACGGUACCUGCAGAAGAAGCCCCGGCUAA
rnacentral:rRNA from 2 species